CCUCCCUUGGACGAAGCUUCCCUAAGCCUUCCUGGCUCCUCCUCACCAUAAAUGAACUUUUUUUUCUUAUCUGUUUUUCAUGAGUUUUUGUCUCAUGUAGACAAACUGAGAUCCAAGAAGACAAGACCAUGUAAGUAUUAUGAGAUUUUAAUAACAAUUGUUGUUUGUUUUGGUUGUUAAAAUAUUACUAGACUCCCAAUUUGUUGAUGAAAUUUCUGUGACAGAAUAUCCCCUCAAGACUCGGUCAUGUAUAGACCAUUUAUGACAUGCGAUGAUCAAUAAACACAUAUUACAUAUCCCUCUGCUUGUAAACAAAAAUAAGUACCCUUUAUUGAUAGUGUGUUUUGGUCUAUGUCAGAAUCAGAAUAAGGUUCCAACCUCAACGCCUGAACCAGUGAUUUUCUUAUGAUGCAAAGACCUGCCAAAGGGUGAAAAAUCACUUUGUAUGUUUUGAUGUUCAUUCAUUAUUUACAAAUGAGAAGACUUGUCAUCCUUCCAUGCUUGCAGCUGGAGGUUACUCAAGGAUUUUGUGACUCUAACCCUACAGAAUAUGUUGAUAGUGAGAAAACAGAGCCUGGACAUCGAUUCAGUAAAGGGGGAGUUCAUGAAGAUUAUAAAGAAUGGCUAUGAAGGUUCUCCUCGGAGGAUGGAGAUGUCCAUCUUGUUAGCUUCUCAGCUGCCAAAUUGAUGUUAAGAAAAGGAAUUUGGUCUUCCAUAUUGGCUUGUUUGCAAUGUAUCACCAGUUCGAGUGAGGAUUAUAGUGGCUAGAUCUAUUUUAUUUUGAUUUAUCUGCUAUCUUGUUGUAUUAUAGACCUGUAUAUUUUAUGUUAUAUUGUAUGUAUAUGAU